GACGAACGCUGGCGGCGCGCUUAACACAUGCAAGUCGUACGGUAAGGCCCUUUCGGGGGUACACGAGUGGCGAACGGGUGAGUAACACGUGAGUAACCUGCCCACAACUUUGGGAUAACGCUAGGAAACUGGUGCUAAUACUGGAUAUGUGCUCCUGCUGCAUGGUGGGGGUUGGAAAGCUCCGGCGGUUGAGGAUGGACUCGCGGCCUAUCAGCUUGUUGGUGGGGUAGUGGCCUACCAAGGCGGCGACGGGUAGCCGGCCUGAGAGGGUGACCGGCCACAUUGGGACUGAGAUACGGCCCAGACUCCUACGGGAGGCAGCAGUGGGGAAUAUUGCACAAUGGGCGCAAGCCUGAUGCAGCAACGCCGCGUGCGGGAUGACGGCCUUCGGGUUGUAAACCGCUUUCAGCAGGGACGAAGCUUUUUGUGACGGUACCUGCAGAAGAAGCACCGGCUAACUACGUG
rnacentral:rRNA from 1 species